UACGUAGGGUGCAAGCGUUAAUCGGAAUUACUGGGCGUAAAGCGUGCGCAGGCGGUUGUGCAAGACGGAUGUGAAAUCCCCGGGCUUAACCUGGGAAUUGCAUUCGUGACUGCACGGCUAGAGUGUGUCAGAGGGGGGUAGAAUUCCACGUGUAGCAGUGAAAUGCGUAGAUAUGUGGAGGAAUACCGAUGGCGAAGGCAGCCCCCUGGGAUAACACUGACGCCUCAU
rnacentral:rRNA from 1 species